GCCAGUGUGGCCUAGUGGUUUGGGUGUUAGACUAUGACUCUGAAGAUCAGGGUUUGAUUCCCUGCUCAGCCA